rnacentral:rRNA from 1 species
CUAGAAAAACUUAGCGGCGAACGGGUGAGUAACACGUAAAGAACCUGCCUCAUAGACUGGGACAACUAUUGGAAACGAUAGCUAAUACCGGAUAACAGUAUUUCUCGCAUGAGAGAUAUUUAAAAGUUGGUUAUGCUAACACUAUGAGAUGGCUUUGCGGUGCAUUAGCUAGUUGGUGGGGUAAAGGCCCACCAAGGCGACGAUGCAUAGCCGACCUGAGAGGGUGAUCGGCCACACUGGGACUGAGACACGGCCCAGACUCCUACGGGAGGCAGCAGUAGGGAAUCUUCCGCAAUGGGCGAAAGCCUGACGGAGCAACGCCGCGUGAGUGAAGAAGGAUUUCGGUUCGUAAAGCUCUGUUGUUAGGGAAGAAUGGAUAUGUAGUAACUAUACAUAUAAGAGACGGUACCUAACCAGAAAGCCACGGCUAACUACGUGCCAGCAGCCGCGGUAAUACGUAGGUGGCAAGCGUUGUCCGGAAUUAUUGGGCGUAAAGCGCGCGCAGGUGGUUUAAUAAGUCUGAUGUGAAAGCCCACGGCUCAACCGUGGAGGGUCAUUGGAAACUGUUAAACUUGAGUGCAGGAGAGAAAAGUGGAAUUCCUAGUGUAGCGGUGAAAUGCGUAGAGAUUAGGAGGAACACCAGUGGCGAAGGCGGCUUUUUGGCCUGUAACUGACACU